GCAUUCGGAGCGGAUGUGUCCCGGUCUCUUGCAAUCAUAACAUAUGAUUGGGUCUCUUUCUUUUUCUUUUUCCUUUUCUCAAUCAUUUCUCCCUCUAAACUUCUUUCUUGGAAGGGUCUUCUUUCUUCUCAUGAAUUUUUUGAACUUCCUUACUAUUAAGCCCAAGUCUUCAUCUUCACUUUCUUCUUCACUCUCACUGCUUUCUUCUUCACAAGCACUUGAAGUAGCCUUGAGGGCGAUUGUCUUCUUCUUUGGCACAUCUUCUUCAUGUUGCUUCAUUGUGAGCUCAUGCGUCAUCAAUGAGCCCAAUAAUUCUUCAAGUGCCA
rnacentral:lncRNA from 1 species